CCCCCUGAACUCUGAAGAAGAUAGGGCUGUCUGAGUACCUAGAAAAUUGUCAAAACUUUCAACAAUGGAUCUCUUGGUUCCGGCAUCGAUGAAGAACGCAGCGAAAUGCGAUAAGUAAUGUGAAUUGCAGAAUUCCGUGAAUCAUCGAAUCUUUGAACGCACAUUGCGCCCCCUGGCAUUCCGGGGGGCAUGCCUGUCCGAGCGUCAUUUCUGCCCUCAAGCACGGCUUGUGUGUUGGGUGUGGUCCCCCCGGGGACCUGCCCCAAAGGCAGCGGCGACGCCCGUCGGGUCCUCGAGCGCAUGGGGCUUUGUCACUCGCUCGGGAGGGACCUGCGGGGGUUGGUCACCACCAAAUCUUUUACGGUUGACCUCGGAUCAGGUAGGAGUUACCCGCUGAACUUAAGCAUAUCAAUAAGCGGAGGAA
rnacentral:rRNA from 1 species